UACGUAGGGGGCUAGCGUUGUCCGGAAUCAUUGGGCGUAAAGAGCGUGUAGGCGGCCCGGUAAGUCCGCUGUGAAAGUCGGGGGCUCAACCCUCGAAUGCCGGUGGAUACUGUCGGGCUAGAGUGCGGAAGAGGCGAGUGGAAUUCCUGGUGUGGCGGUGAAAUGCGCAGAUAUCAGGAGGAACACCAAUUGCGAAGGCAGCUCGCUGGGACGUAACUGACGCUGAGACGCGAAAGCGUGGGGAGCAAACAGG
rnacentral:rRNA from 1 species